GGCUAAAGAAAUUUUUUUGCAAAAAAUUGAAGAAAGGCCUGUUAGCUU
rnacentral:tRNA from 1 species